GACGAACGCUGGCGGCGUGCCUAAUACAUGCAAGUUGAGCGCCGAAGGUUGGUACUUGUACCAACUGGAUGAGCAGCGCACGGGUGAGUAACGCGUGGGGAAUCUGUCUUUGAGCGGGGGACACCAUUAGGAAACGAAUGCUAAUACCGCAUAAAAACUUUAAACACAAGUUUUACGUUUGAAAGAUGCAAUUGCAUCACUCAAAGAUGAUCUCGCGUUGUAUUAGCUAGGUUGUGGGGUAAAGGCCCACCAAGGCGAGGAUACAUAGCGGACCUGGGAGGGGGAUCCGCCACAAUGGGAAUGAGACACGGCCCAAGACUCUACCGGGGGGAGCAAGAGGGGAACUUUGGCCAUGGACGGAAGUCUGACUGAGCAACGCCGGGGUGGGGGAGAAAGGUUUCGGAGCGUAAAACUAUGUUGGUAGGGAAGAAAGUUGGUGGGAGUAAAAAGCUCAGCAAAUGACGGUAACUACACAGAAAGGGACGGCUAACUACGUG
rnacentral:rRNA from 1 species